CUGAUGAAGUCCAGAGUCCUGCAGUCGCCUCUGGUUUGUCACACUGCACCGUCGACCACCACGCACUGCGCAUCUCCUGCUGGUCACAGCUCCCUGGUGCCUUCAUCAGCUAUCAUCAAAACCCCAAGUUGGCCGAAGUUUUACCACCGUGACCUCCUUCAUACACAUAAACCACUCAGGAUCACACCCAUUCUCCAAAAGAAACUGAAGGGGUGGAAGAAAAGCGCUCUGCUGUCUUUCAGCAAAAGGGAUAACGAAUCACGUGCACAUGUAGCUGCCAGGAAUUACAGCAGCGGAGGUGGCCGGAGCAGAAGCCGGGAGCAGGGCUCCAGUUUAGGGUGCAGAGCACAGGCUGCUGCCCGCCUGUUCAGGUAUGUGGAAACUGUCCUCCACUGUCAUCUCUGUGGGCUCAAGAAAGCAUAGAAAGAUGUAAAAAAAGCUUUUUUAACUGACUGCAUCCCGAUUUCUCCUUUCCCCAUGCACUCGCCUUCAUCCCUUUGCCCCAGGAGUCAUAUUUGCCCUUCAGAUAGGCCAAGGGAACCUUUGGUGUGCGAUGUCGCUCCCCGAGAACUGAGAGCAGAGAAGCCAUAGAAGUUCACGUUGGUAGAGAAGGGAUGCUGAGAUGCCAGAAGACAGCAAACCUUGCUCCAGCUUGCAGCAAGCUCUGGUCAUGGCGCUUCUGCUCCAGUCGCUAAACGUUUGCAGUCAGUGGCUGCAGUGCUGGUUAGGUGCCUGCCCCAAUCCAGCCCUCGGAGCAGCAUUGCAGGCAGCAACUGUUUGGGCAGCGCUCGCUGUGUCAUCAUCUCGUGGACACCAACACACUCAGACCAAGGUCAGGUUUUAGGUCUUCAUUCCCAUUUCGGUUCUCACUGCCCAUUCAUUUUUAACAGCAUCCUGUUUCUGAGGGUCAAAUAGGUUCUUUAAGCAGAAGUGGUUUGAGUUUGGCCAUGCAAGGGAAGGGAUGCAAAACCUCAUUACAGGCGUCCGCAUUGGAAACAUCCUCUCCUUCCCGCCCCAGGGCCGUCAGCAGCUGGCUCGAGGCACCAGGGUUAAUGUCCUUUGCGAAUACUUAUCCGGCCUAAUAGAACCAGGGAUAUUGCUAUCACUCACAGAUAUUUCAAAUCCUUCCUCUUAAUCCUGACAAGCUCUUGCCCUUAAUAACUUCAGUGGGACUUUUGCCAGGGCGAAGACUGUCAAGUCAGAUUCUCAAACGAAAUGAAAAGCAAAGCAGGAAGGGAAGUUCAAGGUGAGGGUUUUUUUUCUUGGUGCUUUUUAUGGAUGUUCAUAGCUGGAAACUGAGGGGUUUCCUUCUGAUUAUCUACAUGAUGGAUGAGUCAAACGUCCUGAGAAAUAUGUUCUGAUCCAGCCACAAAUGACAGAGGAUGAAGUGAGCAAAGCCAUCAGGGGCUGAGAAAAGACAGAGAGAGAAGACUCAGAGCUGGUAGGGAAAUAAAAGACUCAGUGGGAAGAAAAAGAGAGAUUUCUGAGGAAAACAGGGAUCAUGUGCUUUAUGAAACUUGCACGUGGCAAGAGCUUAUACAUUUUUAAUUAGUGGAUAUUUAAGUGCUCUGUAAAAAUGGAUUGGUUUAGGCUGUCUCAGACAACAGGUUGCUGUGGGCACAGCGCGUUAGGUGGUGGCUCUUUAUUGCAGCGCUCAGCCCCCUGUGACACAGAUCAUCUCAGCUUUCCUUCAAAUGAGAGGAACAUUUCAAUACUCUCCAUGGCAGAAAAACCUCGAAAACAUGAAGCUGAGAGGCGCAAAGCAAAUAAAGAUCCAGCUCUUGGUUUAAGGCAUUUUCUGAUUGCUGGAGACGCUCUGGCUCAAGGGAGGGAAGAGCCUUAGUGGAUGGUUUGCAGGGUUUAGGGCAAGUGAUGCUGAUACGCGAUGAGCUCCUGUCAGGAUAGGAGCUGCGGGAGGAAACGAGCAGCCAGAACGGAAGAUUUGAGCUGCUCUUAAAAAGAAUUGGCAUUUUCCUGCACCUUUUAAAAGUCGACAGAGGUGGCAUGGAACCCCUCCGGGGCACCAGCUCAGAACUAGGAUGGACCUUCCUCUGGCCUGCUCAGCCUUAUCCAGCCCAGCACCACGUGAGGUUUGGUGAGCUGAUGUUGCCCCGGGGACAAUAAAAACAGGGUUUGAGGUGGGUGCAACCUGGCUUUGCUUCCCACAAGGCUGCCCAGGUACUGCUGCCAUUGCAAACUCCGUAAAGCUGGUAAAUACUCCGUAAGCCUGACUUAGAAAUCCCGACUAUACCUGAAACAAGCCCUUAACCCAAUGCAUUUUUCACAAAUGCAGCCAAAGUUCUGCUAUUAUUUAUUUAGAUGCAUCUGGGAGCUCGCAAAUUUGCGAUGAUUUGCCAGCACAAAUAGUUUUCAAAGAAGUGUUUCCCCUCUGUAAAUAGUCUGCCUCCGGCCUUUGUAGGGAAAAAGAUGUUUUGGCCAAAGUAGGAAAAAAUAAAAAAUCUAUAAGCAUUUAUAGAACUCGUCAAAUACAAUUUCAGUUUGGUUUUACAGAGAAGCGGAGCUUUCUGUUCUCCUCAGCGUCUGUGGGAAGGUCAAUAUCACCUCUAUAAACCCUUCAGCAGCGUGAUUUUUUACAUGGACAUCUCCUCUCUCCAUGGAAAGUCGAUAGAUCUGCUCGGUGAGAUUCCUGAACAGAAUGGGGGGGGAUCAAAGAGGAGGUUUUGGGAGGCCAAGCUCGCUUGUAUGAACUGAAGCAGAGUCUGAUUCCUUCAAGGCUUGAUCCAGCCUCUACUGAGUGAUACGAAAUUGCUUCAACAGAAACAGGCCCUGACCUUCACCGAGAGACAAGCCAGGACCUGGAGGAGCCCCGGCUGCUUAGCGCACGCAGGGACACGCCAGCAGCCGCUCCUCUCCCGGCCCUGGGCUGGAUUGCACUCAGUCCUGGAAGAAAAGAGAACUUCCUUAUAAUGAACGGAGCGGGAGGCUUGGCUCAAGAGCACCAUUUAACACCUGCUAAUCCCUCGUCCCAAUUUGCUUCAGUUUAUUAGACAACCCUGGAAACAGGCGUGAUGGAAGCACCAUGGAAACAUGACAGCAAGCAGAGCUGUCAGUCCACAGCCGCUCCUCCGGUGGAUUCUUCAGAGAGAGCAGAGCUGGCAUCUCACGGGCACCUCCCGCUUCUCUUCUCCGCUUUGUGUCCAGAGCAGCGAGACAUGCCCAUGCUGUAGCUGGGAGGGACACUUGCUCGUCAGGUCUGGAGAGGGAGUCAAGCCAGCCUUGUCCCCAACCAUCAGCAUCAAGGAUCCUCCCAUUGUACCAACAAAAUUCCUGGUGUGAGCAGAAAGAGGCAGGUUCACCUAGCUGAGCUGAGCUGCUUGGAUCUGGAGACACCAGAGGGAAGCGUUUCUUCCCUCGCCCAGCCCUCACGCUUCGGCAUUGCCACUUGGCUCGGAUAAUUUACUUUUAAUAGCCUGGUUACAAACAAGAUCGCAGAGGAAGCGCGUGGCUCCGAACAGGGCUUUCUGAGUCACAUUCUCAUUUCCCCGCAUGCCUCCCAGGCCUCCAAUGAACUACAAAGAGACAUUAAGAAAACACUAAGAACUCUUUAUCUGCCAAGAUUCGGGAACUGGUGCAGUGAGCAGGCAAUAAUGGAUUCCUUGUAUUUGUGAUAUGUCCUGGCGGCAGCAGCCGAACAAGGGUGACGGGAAGUUGGAGUGCUCAGGACAGACGGCCUGGCUCCGUGGCCGGAGGUCAGAUGCCUUCCCGAGGGGCUUUCUCCUAACCUCCCUCCUAGGAUCUCAAUUACACACUCAAAACAGAUUAACAACAACAACAGAUAAUAGAACAGUUAGAGCAAAAGAAACCUCAGAGGAGAAGCACAGUGCACUCAGACCAGAACGAACGCAUGCAGGGUCUGCGCAGACACACUCGGAGCCGUGCAGGAAAGCUACGCUGUAUGUGUGCUCACACUUGCAGGAACACAACCACAGUCUCUGUGAGGGAUUGCACGGCCCUAAGGUGAUGGCUCAGGGCACGGAAACUCGUGCCCUGCUGGCUGACCAAAGCAGUUCCUCACUUACUCUGCCCCGUGCUGGCUUGCGUGCACACAAACUCAAAUUCGUGUGUGUGUGUCUGUGUGCAGGUGGCUGCAGCGACCCACAAAAUGCGUUCUCCUUGCUUGAUCCAUCCUAUUACAUGACUGACUGUGCUCGGACGUGGUGGAGAUUGAUAGCAUUGAGAUCGGACUCCGGUCAAGGCUUUUGAAAUCUGAUUUGAGGUGAGUCCUUCUUCAAGUACAGCUCAAAAUCAAAUCAUUUCACUUGUGGCAGGGAGGGAGAAGAGAAACAGAGCAGGUGAGACAAUAGCUACUGUCUAGCUAAGAUAAGCCAGGCAAGACAAAAUAUUCCUUCUGAUUCUUUUAGCACACUAGAGAGGUGAUUCCAUCCACCUGUCCAAAUUAGAGACAGUUUCUGUCACCAAUGGUGUAUAAUUCUGGGGUGAUCAAUCUUUAAACCAGAUAACGAUAGUAACACCCCAUUAUUGAUGCUGUUGACAAUAAGGCUGCCUGGGAAAGGGAGAUCCUCUGAGGUAGUGGCUCAUGUUUCUUUGCAAAUGGAUAUGUGGAUAGGCUUUAACGCUCUCUUUAAAGUUCAUGAGCUUUAAUGGUAGAGGAGAACUUGUCCAACCUAGACUGCAUGGUGACAUCUUGCAUCUUCCGUUCCACGAGCCCAACACCAGACUUAAUUUGGGCCAUCUCCUCAAGCUCACAGCCGUGUCCAUCCACUUGCUCCAGAGAGUGGCUGGGAUGACUGCAGACCUGGAGGAGACCUGGCAAUAAAGCCCUGCCCUGCCCCGCUGUGCUUGCUCCCAGCAUUGCCUGCGAUUUGCUGUGUCACCUUGAGCAAUCGCUGUGGCUAGACAAGUCCUCUUUCGUAUCAGGUGGCUCCUAUAGGUGUCCUCAUUAACCUCAUUAACUAAUGAGCCAAACUGAUCACACACGUCUGCUGAUGAGACUCGAGUUGAGUCUUGGAGUGCAAGUAUUGCUCCAUCACCCACAGCGUUCUGUCCAACGUGAUCAAAGGUCUCUUUCCAACACUUGCCAGCACAGCAGGGGUAAAAGGAGAUUGAACUGGGCUCAGUGCUUGGGAAACAGAGGUGAAACACGAGGAGUUCAGCUCAGGAUUGAGAGGAAACUCUCCCCUGCUCUGUGGAAUGAGUGCAGUUCAGAAAGGAUACAGCCAGAAAGGAUACAGACAGGAGCAUCCUCUGUCGUUCCCCGCUGCUCCAGUCUCUUUGGGCAGCCCUGGAGGAGUGGGGCUGUAAUCACUGCCAGGCACUAAACAUGCCUCAUAAACUCCUGGUUUAGGGAAGCAGGGGAACCUGUGGCUCGGGCUUUGUCUCUGCAGGAGCUGGAGAAAGCUGCAGCUUCCCGCAGCCACCUGGAGCUUAAAUGCCACUUAGAAGAAUUAUCUCCUGCCUUUAUCCCUGAGAAAAACAACUGUUUGUGUGGAGCAGACAGAGAGGGAAGCACAUUGGGAAUUCUUUGUAGACCUGCUUCCUCUCCUUUCCCCAUGUUCAAAGUGAAAGAAAAUAGAAAAUUGUCAACAUGGACAGGAAGGAGAGGUAAUGCUGAGCAGAGCAUGAGCCUCCAGAAGCUGGACUAGGAGAGAACAGACACUUGGAAGGAUCCCCAGGUCUGUUUUCCUUCCUCAGGAGCCUGUGGUUGAUUGCUGGCGUGUGCUCCCGAGGGACCAGCCCUGCCGCUCACCACGAGCUCCCUUCUUAUGUCGUCUCUUAGGGUAGCUUUUGGUGUUACCAUAAUAAAUGGUUUUAGGAAGUUCUCCAAUAGCCCAAUGCUAUCACAGGGAAUCUGCCAGGAAGACUUAUUUCUUCUCUUCUUUAAAGAAGAAAGAAAGCUCUUUUUUCUUUCAUAGGUAUCAGGAAUAACUCCUUGCUGAAACGAGCUGCUCGCUGUGGGAGAACAGCGCUGCACUGACGGGCUUGAAAACUGACAACUUACUAUUAAACUACAAAAAGUCACCUCCCCAGUGACGGUGAAGGCUUAGCAGCAGGAGACUCUUCUCUUCCGGCAUCCUUUUGCUGUACAAAAAGCUUCAGAGAAAGCAAUAAGAAUCCAGGAAUGGGCAGGUCCAGCCUGAUGUAUCCAGAGCUUAAUCCAGCCCUGGCUUAGACCCUGAUUGGGGGUUUUUUACCCUCUUCGUUGUCAUCCAGUCUUGCCCCACAACUCUCCUCUGAAGGGCUCUCUCAGCACUUGGUUCUGAGGCAUCCAGGCCUCUCUGCUGCACUGCAGCAAUCUGAAAGGUUGCGCCAUAUUAAGAAUGGGCUUAAGUACUCAGAGCUACAUCAAGGCUCCUCGUUCUUCCUUAUUUCUCCUUUUAUUUCUGAUGUUGGUGUCCCCUGAGUCUAUAGGUGACCCUCUACUCAGAGCUCUGUCCCACAUCGACCUCGUGUCCCCGUCUCUGCUCCUUCACCCGGGCAUCUGUACACAGCGAUCCCUGUACAUUACCUGUUGCACUGGCAGCCUUCAGCACUUGCUUGUAGGAGCACUAAAAUAAUGUCAAAUGACCCAAACUCUCUCCCACAGCACCCCGUUCUCCAGUUCACAAGCAAGAACUAUCAGCCAAAGGCUUUUUCUAGUUAAAAAACUUACCGUGCC